GCUGAGAAUUUCAGGUACCUGGUGAAGCUGCCCAGGCUGCAGCUUGGAUGGAGUGGGGACAGCAGGAGACAGGGAGACCUGACCAGCUCCCCUGCAGCCCUGGUGUCACCCAUAAAGCAAAUCCAACCUAGACCCACAUCAGAGGUCAAACCCUGUCAGCUCCUCUCAGCAGUAGCUGCUCCCUGAACAGCAGCAGAGCUCAGAAAGCUCUGUUUGCAGCACUCUGGAUGUGAGCCAGCACAAACCUCUCCAGGCAGACCUGGCAGGCAAGCAGGAUGUCUCAAGGUCACAACAGCUGAUGAACACAAAUUCUGUCCAAGUCCCUGAGGCCUGGGAAGAGAUGUGUUAUAGCAUGGACUAUAUAAAAAUAGCUCCUGCUGGGAAACCCUGAAAGGAUAA
rnacentral:lncRNA from 1 species